AUUGAACGCUGGCGGCAGGCCUAACACAUGCAAGUCGAGCGGAUGAAGGGAGCUUGCUCCUGGAUUCAGCGGCGGACGGGUGAGUAAUGCCUAGGAAUCUGCCUGGUAGUGGGGGAUAACGUCCGGAAACGGGCGCUAAUACCGCAUACGUCCUGAGGGAGAAAGUGGGGGAUCUUCGGACCUCACGCUAUCAGAUGAGCCUAGGUCGGAUUAGCUAGUUGGUGGGGUAAAGGCCUACCAAGGCGACGAUCCGUAACUGGUCUGAGAGGAUGAUCAGUCACACUGGAACUGAGACACGGUCCAGACUCCUACGGGAGGCAGCAGUGGGGAAUAUUGGACAAUGGGCGAAAGCCUGAUCCAGUCAUGCCGCGUGUGUGAAGAAGGUCUGCGGAUUGUAAAGCACUUUAAGUUGGGAGGAAGGGCAGUAAGUUAAUACCUUGCUGUUUUGACGUUACCAACAGAAUAAGCACCGGCUAACUUCGUG
rnacentral:rRNA from 1 species